UCAUGAAUUUGUGGUUGAAAUUAGGUGAUUGAUUAAAGUUAAAACGCGUGUGGGACCCGCCUGUGACUUAAGUGAGUCAAACUCACCAUUUCUUCACACUUUCUCUCUCCUCCCCUCCUUCUUCUUCACGCUGGAACAGCCUCCCCCAUGCCCAUUUCUUCUUGAUUUUCUUUUCUUCACAAAUCACUCAUUUCUCCACCAAAUCCAACAAAAUUUGUGUUGAAAUUUGUUGGAAAAGACCUUCUAAACACAUUGGUACCACUCUUAAGCCUUGAAAUCGCCUCUUUGUGGAGCAUUUGGCAAAAAUCAGAUCCGAAAAUUUGAAGAAAAUUGGAUGUUCAUGGAGCUUUUGAUCUUCCAUUGCUUGGAGGAGUCUUGGGUUAGCUUCUAGCCUUUGUUGUGAGUUGCCGUACAUCGACUUGAAUCCCGAAUCUUGAUUCAGUGAGUUGCCAUUGGUCUUGGACCAAGUGGAUUGAGGCAUUCCGCUGUGUACCGAGUUGAGGGAUAAGCUGCUGCGGAGCUUGUGGAAACACGAAUUAAGGUUGCCGUACAUCGACUUGAAUCCCGAAUCUUGAUUCAGUGAGUUGCCAUUGGUCUUGGACCAAGUGGAUUGAGGCAUUCCGCUGUGUACCGAGUUGAGGGAUAAGCUGCUGCGGAGCUUGUGGAAACACGAAUUAAGGAGGUAGCAGUGGAGCAGGAGCCUCGGGCAAGAGGCCCGCAGAGUGAGCGCUGGAGCGCUUCAUAUUUUGCAUUUUGUUGGCCGUGUGGCCUAGGCUAGACUUAGGGCAUGAACAUGUCAUUUGUAUUUAUUAGUAGCUUCAUUAGCAUCUUGUUCAUGCCAUUUUGCCUAAGUCUAGUAGUGAUGUAUUUGGUUAUGUUGUCUUUUAAAUUAAGUUGAAAUUUUAGAAGAAUGUAAUUUGAAGUUUUAGUUUCAAGUUGUAAUUUGUAAAGCCAUAUUGUAAUAGUAUUGAUGCAUGUCUAACUAUGAUGGAAGGGCCUUAGGCUUAUCUU